rnacentral:rRNA from 1 species
AUACCGGGCCUUUUUGGGCUUGGUAAUUGGAAUGAGGGAGAGUUAAACGGACCAUCGAAUAUCCAUUGGAGGGCAAGUCUGGUGCCAGCAGCUGCGGUAAUACCAGCUCCAAUAGCGUAUAUUAAAGUUGUGGCAGUUAAAAAGCUCGUAGUUGGACUUGUGUGCGCUGUCCGCGGGUGGCCUGCGCCCAAAAGGGCGUUUCGGUUCGGCCCCGGUGGCGCCUUGAAAUCUGCAGCUGGGGGGACGUUGGCCUUAACUGGUCGGCGACCGCACGCCGGCUGCUCGGUUACUGUGAGAAAAUUAGAGUGUUCAAGGCAGGCAUUGGGUGCAAUUGAAUACAUCAGCAUGGAAUAAUAAAAUAUGGCUCCUGCCGUAUUUUGUUGGUUUUGACUGGUGGGAGUAAUGAUUGAUAGGGACGGUUGGGGGUGCUAGUAUUGAGCGGCCAGAGGUGAAAUUCAUGGAUUCGCUCAAGACUAACUUAUGCGAAAGCAUUCACCAAGGACGUCCUCUUUAAUCAAGAACGAAAGUUGGGGGAUCGAAGACGAUCAGAUACCGUCGUAGUCUCAACCAUAAACUAUGUCGACUUGGGAUCGGCGGUAGUUUUUUCAUUAAGACACUGUCGGGACCACGGGAGAAAUCAAAGUGUCUGGACUCUGGGGGAAGUAUGGUCGCAAGGCUGAAACUUGAAGGAAUUGACGGAAGGGCACCACCAGGAGUGGAGCCUGCGGCUUAAUUUGACUCAACACGGGGAAACUUACCUGGUCCAGAGAUGUAGAGGAUUGACAGAUUGAAGCUCUUUCUUGAUCACUUCGGUGGUGGUGCAUGGCCGUUCUUAGUUGGUGGAGUGAUUUGUCUGGUUAAUACCGUUAACGAACGAGACCUCAGCCUGCUAGUGUAGUCGGCUGGAUUGCCUUUGGCGAUCCGUGAUUUCGACUUCUUAGAGGGACAAUCGACGCGCAGUCGAUGGAAGUUUGAGGCAAUAACAGGUCUGUGAUGCCCUUAGAUGUUCUGGGCCGCACGCGCGCUACACUGCUGGGCUCAGCGAGUUUUACUUGGCCGAGAGGCCCGGUUAAUCUUGUGAAAUCCCAGCGUGCUUGGGCUCGCCUCCUGCAACUGGAGGCGCCAACGAGGAAUUCCUAGUAGACGCAGGUCAUCAACCUGCAUCGAUUACGUCCCUGCCCUUUGUACACACCGCCCGUCGUUCCAUAAGAGUGAGGCAUCCGGUGAAUUCUCGGGAGAGCCUGGGCGUGGCCAGCAAUGGUCUGCUCGGGUUUGAACUUGCAUAAACUUGG